rnacentral:rRNA from 1 species
AUUGAACGCUGGCGGGAUGCUUUACACAUGCAAGUCGAACGAGUGGCGGACGGGUGAGUAAUGUAUCGGAACUUGCCCAGUAGCGGGGGAUAACUACUGGAAACGGUGGCUAAUCCCGCAUACUAUUGGAGCGGCCGAUAUCGGAUUAGCUAGUUGGUGGGGUAAAGGCUCACCAAGGCAACGAUCCGUAGCUGGUCUGAGAGGACGACCAGCCACACUGGGACUGAGACACGGCCCAGACUCCUACGGGAGGCAGCAGUGGGGAAUGUUGGACAAUGGGCGAAACCCUGAUGCAGCCAUGCCGCGUGUAUGAGAAGGCCUUCGGGUUGUAAAGUACUGUUGGCAGAGAAGCGGUAUCUGCAGAAUAAGCAACGGCUAACUACGUGCCAGCAGCCGCGGUAAUUC